rnacentral:lncRNA from 1 species
ACAUUUCUAUGCAUCCUCAGUUAGGUGGGGCCACAGAAAGCUCCAGUCCUGGCCAAUGGGCCUAUUAUUAACAGAAGCGAUGUGGACACUCUUAGGUCAGUGCAUUUAAAAGCUGGUGUGUGCUCACUCUCUCUUGUGAUAUUCAUCUGUAUUGCCUUGUGGAGCUGUAGUUUUCCUUCUCAUUGCUGCAUAGUACUCCAUUGUGUGAAUAUAAUAUGAUGUAUUUAUUCAUUCUGUUAUUGAUGACACUGUGGUUCUCUCCAGUUUGGUGCAUUUGGGAAGAGUGCUGCUAUGCCCAUUUGUGUGUAUUCUUCUUUCGGUGGGCAUGCUUGCAUUUUUCUUAGGCAUAUAUACUGAGGAGAGAAACUGCUAGCUCAUAGGACAUGAUCACAGAUAUUCAACUUUAACAGACAGAGUCAAAGAGUUUUCCAAAUGAUUGUACCAAUAGACCCUCCCGUCAGCAGUGUAUGAGAGUUCCACUUAUUCUGAAUCCUUGUCAGCACUUGAUAUUGUCUUUUUCAUUUGAGUCAUUCUCAUGCUUACCCUUUAAAUUUCAGUGCUUUAUUUCUAACUUAUCACCUUCUGACUCAAGCCAUCCAGAUUGUCGUACUGUUGCUGGUCAGGUUCCCUGUGUGGCAGAUUCUGAGAUGGAAAUCAGCAUGCAGAAGUUUAUUAGGGAAGUGUUCUAGGACCAACACCUGUCCAGGGAAAAUAAGAAAGUGUGAUCUAGGCAAGGAAGGUAUGGCCUUGCAAUGCAGUCUGAACAAGGGCCUGAGCCCACCCUACUAGGAGCCGCAAAGCUGUGAAGGCCCUGCCCUUCAGAGUUGCCCCUAAUAGAGGAAGUGGGUCAGGUCUUUAUACCCCAGCAUGGAUCAGUUAUGGGAUGAGGGCUGCCACAGGAAGGGGGUCUGAACUUAGUAAGGCUGCUGUCUUCACAUAAGGGCAGUUCUGGAGAGGGCUUAGAGCAGAGGGCUGAAACUGACGGCACUCCCACCUGCUGGGGAAGUAAGUCCAAUCUCC